rnacentral:rRNA from 1 species
GAUGAACGCUGGCGGCGUGCCUAAUACAUGCAAGUCGAGCGAACGGACGAGAAGCCUGCCUCUCUGAUGUUAGCGUCGGACGGGUGAGUAACACGUGGAUAACCUACCUUUAAGACUGGGAUUACUUCGUGAAACCGGAGGUAAUACCGGCUAAUAUUUUGAACCGCAUGGUUCAAAAGUGUAAGACGUUCUUCCUUUCACUGAUAGAUGGAGCCGCUCUGCAUUAGCUAGUGGGUAAGGUAACGGCUUACCAAGGCAACGAUGCAUAGCCGACCUGAGAGGAUGAUCAGCCACACUGGAACUGAGACACGGUCCAGACUCCUACGGGAGGCAGCAGUAGGGAAUAUUGCGCAAUGGGCGAAAGCCUGACGGAGCCACGCCGCGUGAAUGAUGAAGGUCUUCGGAUCGUAAAACUCUGUUAUUAGGGAAGAACAUAUGUGUAAGAAACUCUGCACAUAUUGACGGUACCUAAACAGAAAGCCACGGCUAACUACGUG